UACAGAGGGUGCGAGCGUUAAUCGGAAUUACUGGGCGUAAAGCGUGCGUAGACGGUUAUUUAAGUCGGGUGUGAAAGCCCCGGGCUCAACCUGGGAAUUGCAUUCGAGACUGAAUAGCUAGGGUACGGUAGAGGGAAGCGGAAUUUCCGGUGUAGCGGUGAAAUGCGUAGAUAUCGGAAGGAACAUCAGUGGCGAAAGCGGCUUCCUGGACCAGUACCGACGUUCAGGCACGAAAGCAUGGGGAGCAAACAGG
rnacentral:rRNA from 1 species